rnacentral:rRNA from 1 species
AGAGUUUGAUUAUGGCUCAGACGAACGCGGCGGCGUGCUUAACACAUGCAAGUCGAGCGGAAAGGGCCACUUCGGUGGUACUCGAGCGGCGAACGGGUGAGUAACACGUGAGUAAUCUGCCCCUCACUUUGGGAUAGCCACCGGAAACGGUGAUUAAUACGGGAUAUGACGUGCCCUCGCAUGGGGGUGUGUGGAAAGUUUUUCGGUGAGGGAUGUGCUCGCGGCCUAUCAGCUUGAUGGUGAGGUAAUGGCUCACCAUGGCUUCGACGGGUAGCCGGCCUGAGAGGGUGACCGGUCACACUGGGACUGAGACACGGCCCAGACUCCUACGGGAGGCAGCAGUGGGGAAUAUUGGACAAUGGGCGGAAGCCUGAUCCAGCAACGCCGCGUGAGGGAUGACGGCCUUCGGGUUGUAAACCUCUUUCAGUACCGACGAAGCGCAAGUGACGGUAGGUACAGAAGAAGCACCGGCCAACUACGUGCCAGCAGCCGCGGUAAUACGUAGGGUGCGAGCGUUGUCCGGAAUUAUUGGGCGUAAAGGGCUCGUAGGCGGUUUGUCGCGUCGGGAGUGAAAACGCCGUGCUUAACACGGCGCUUGCUUUCGAUACGGGCAGACUAGAGGUAUGCAGGGGAGAACGGAAUUCCUGGUGUAGCGGUGAAAUGCGCAGAUAUCAGGAGGAACACCGGUGGCGAAGGCGGUUCUCUGGGCAUGACCUGACGCUGAGGAGCGAAAGUGUGGGGAGCGAACAGGAUUAGAUACCCUGGUAGUCCACACCGUAAACGUUGGGCGCUAGGUGUGGGGUCCAUUCCACGGAUUCCGUGCCGCAGCUAACGCAUUAAGCGCCCCGCCUGGGGAGUACGGCCGCAAGGCUAAAACUCAAAUGAAUUGACGGGG